GGGGGUAUAGCUCAGCUGGGAGAGCAGCAGACUGAAGUCUCGAGUAUUUCUGAAGGUCCCGCGUUCGAUCCGCGGUACCCCCA
rnacentral:tRNA from 1 species